AUAGUCAUGAUUGUAUUUGUAUUGACAGACUUGACAUUUUGACAACUUGUAAGCUGUUAUAAAGAUAUCACUGUGUGAUAUACCAGUAUGUAUAAUUGAAUUGGUUUGUGCCACGACAGUAACAACCUUGCUCCACAAGUUGGGUGUUUUACGUUACUGAUUAAUAAAUAUCCUGAACCCUAGCAAAGCGACUUUAGUUUUCCUUGAGGCCUAAAAGUCAGCUAUUACAAUAGUAUA